UACGGAGGAUGCAAGCGUUAUCCGGAUUUAUUGGGUUUAAAGGGUGCGUAGGCGGAUAUGUAAGUCAGCGGUGAAACUCACAGGCUCAACCUGUGCCGUGCCGUUGAAACUGUGUAUCUGGAAUGCGGAUGCUGUGGGAGGAAUGUGUAGUGUAGCGGUGAAAUGCAUAGAUAUUACACAGAACACCGAUUGCGAAGGCAUCUCACAAAGCCGUUAUUGACGCUGAGGCACGAAAGUGUGCGGAUCAAA
rnacentral:rRNA from 1 species